rnacentral:lncRNA from 1 species
UGGGAAGAAGGGGUCUGGCUAGGAUAUUUAAAGGGUGAGUCUGCGUUUUCUCACCUCUAUUUUCUCUGCUGUGUCAGGAACUCCUAGUAGGGUUACCCUCUAGAACUGGUCCCUGUCUCUGUCUUCCCCCCUUAUUUCCCAUCCUUUUGUCUUUUUGCUCUACCUUCUGGGAAAUUCCUCAAUUUUAUUUUUGUCCCUUCAUUUUUACCAUCUCCUGUUUUAAAUUUCCAAGAGCUCACUUUUAGUGUUCCCUUUUUGUUUGGAGUAGCCUGUGUAUACUUGCUGACUCAUUUAUUUGAUGACUCCUUUCUCUCUAAAGGAUAUUAAAUUUGGUUUUAAUUUUCACUCUAUGUAUUCUUUCCUUCCUUUUUUUAAAAUUUUCUCUUUGUUCUGGUCUCAGCCUUUCAGACUGGAAGCUCUGAGCCUGUGGUGGGAGCGGACUCCGAUCCCUGCUGAGCCGUCCUUGGAAAUCCUGGACUGUUUGGGGCCCCUGAGAAACCUUCUUUCCUCUUGCGAGCAGCUCCCAGCCACAGGAAACAAUUCCAACUCAAGACCCAAGGAGACCAGGGGAGGGAGCUGAGGGGAAGCCUGAGACUGCCCUCCGAUGAGGACUGUGGCUGCACGUGGAGGUGGGAGAGCUCAGCAACCACUGUCAUCUUGGCAGAGAGGGAAGCAAAGGAGCUUCUGGGUAGCUCAGUGAAGCAUCUGACUUCACCUCGGGUCACGAUCUCAUGGUCCAUGAGUUGGAGCCCAGCAUCAGGCUCUGUGCUGACAGCUCAGCCUGGAGCUUCAGGUUCUGUGUCUCCCUCUCUCUCUGCCCCACCUCUUUCUCUCAAAAAUAAAUAAACAAUAAAAAAUAUUUAAGGGGCGCCUGUGUGGCUCAGUCGGUUAAACGUCCAAUUUUGGCUCAGGUCACGAUCUCAUGGUUCGUGGGUCCGAGCCCCAUAUUGUCUGUGCUGACAGCUCAGAGCCUGGAGCGUGCUUUGAAUUCUGUGCCUCCCUCUCUCUACCCCUCCCUCUGCUCAUGCGCGCUCUCUCAAAAAUAAAUAAACAUUUUUUUAAUUAAAAAAAAACAAAAUGGGGAGCAAAAGUUGAGAAAAAGAAAUGAAUAGCCUGACUUCUCUCCUGCCCUCUGAUCUUUUGCUGGUGCCUCCCAUCGACAGAACCUACCAGGAGUUUCCCUGAUUGAAAUGGAGCAUGAGAAGGGUAGAAAGUGGAUUUAAAGGAACAAGUGGUGAAGACCUAGAAUGGACAGGUCUCUGAAGGCAGAGGCACAACUACUAUGUUUCAGAAGAAAAUUCUGCAAGACUACAUACUUUGAGAACCAGAGGGAAUCGUCUGAAAAACUAGUAAUAGUAAUAUAGUCCAGGAAAAUGGUCUGAUGUUAAUACAUGAAAACUGAUAGAUUCAGGACUACUAAUUAUAGACAGAAAAUAUCCCAUUCUUGGUAACAGCCUGGAAAUAGACCAUAGUCUGUGAGGAGCAGGACCAGGGUGAAGAAACUGACAUAAAGAAAACUCCAACAAAAGGAAAGACAAGUCAUAUUCCUUAACAUAAUUUUAUUAUAAACAUAACUCAUACAUACUACUUAAACUUGUUUUUGUAUGCCCAUAGUGCUUCACAUUUAGAAUGUGGUCAGUACAUACUUGUUGAAUGACAAGAUGAGUGAGUAAAUAAACUUCACGGAGCUAUUUAUGUAGAGGUCUUCAAGGAGACGUCUGUCCUUGAUACGUCCGUCCACCAGGAGUCAGGCUUCAGCCGUGAUCGAUGAGGCAAGGCUUAAGUAUCUCCUCCCAGCUCCCAGCUGGCACAGUGCCACUCUGGGCCAAGACAGGCUUCGCUAUUUGAGAUUAACCUCGCACAUGAAUAAAUAGUUUUUAAAAAAACUUACUUGAUUACAAAAGCCUGUGAUCAUGCCAAAAGACUUACAGGAGAGGGUACAGCAAAGCAAACAAACAUGCACAGAGAGAG